rnacentral:sRNA from 1 species
UGUAAAAUACCGAAGAAAAACAUAGCAAUUCUAACAAUAAAUGACGAAGAACAACAGCACAGAAUUUGUUUAAAUACAGUGAAACUUGAAGAUACCAACGCAACAGGAGCUGAUUUGAAGUCGUCAGUUUUGGAUCAAGUGCCUGCAUAUCGCGACAGAACAACAAAUAUAGUCCUACUGCUGUACCACGUCGUGGAUGGGCAGGAGUUGCUCAUUUCAGAAGAAGAAAGCCUUGAAACAAUUAUGAACCGUUUAAACCAAAGUGUUCCCUGCUACCUGAAAAUCAGAGAAAAGUGAGGCAAGCGGACAAGAUUUAUUUAUUGUCACAUAAGAAGAAGAAGGAUCUGUUUCACUAGAGCUAUUUCAUCAUUAGGUCCUUAACUCACUAUAUGACAGCUUGAUAGUGACAGUUGAUUUGUGUGAAUGUCUUAUGUGUAUACAUUGGAUCUGCUGUAUUUUGUUAAGGUUUUACGAUGUUUCCAAUAUGCUUGUUCAUGUUUGAUCUACGACCGUUGUGCACUUUUAAUCUUAAUUCCCUUCUUAUACUUGAUAUACAUAUUUUGGUAAAAAAUGUGGUAAUAACUGCUAUGACUACAUUAACGGUGUGAAGAAUGAGUUUCUGUGCGGCUUCACAGUCUCGUAGUGUGUUAUAUCUGGCUCUGGUUUUGUUCAGGUAUAUAAUGUCAAUUUUAAAAUGUAAACAUAUGUGUCAUUAAAAAAAACACACAUUUUGUUUCACCUUCAUUGUACUAUUACCCUUUGAAAUACCGGAUACCCUGAUGAUGUCUGCACCCAUCUACGAUAUCGCUUCAUGAUGGCUUUGGAGCAAGAAAAAAAAA